UACGAAGGACCCGAGCGUUAUCCGGAUUCAUUGGGUUUAAAGGGUGCGUAGGCGUCCCGGUAAGUUUUCGGUGAAAUCCUCAAGCUUAACUUGAGAACUGCCGAGAAUACUGCUGGGAUUGAGUACAGUUGAGGUGGGCGGAAUGUGUCAUGUAGCGGUGAAAUGCUUAGAUAUGACACAGAACACCAAUUGCGAAGGCAGCUCGCUAAACUGUAACUGACGCUGAGGCACGAAAGCGUGGGUAGCAAACAGG
rnacentral:rRNA from 1 species